UACGUAGGGGGCGAGCGUUGUCCGGAGUUACUGGGCGUAAAGCGCACGCAGGCGGUCUGCUAAGUUUGGAGUGACAGUUGGUGGCUUAACUGCCAAAGUGCUUCGAAAACUGACAGACUUGAGGGCUUCAGAGGGACACGGAAUUCCGGGUGGAGUGGUGAAAUGCGUAGAGAUCCGGAGGAACACCAAAGGCGAAGGCAGUGUCCUGGGGAGUACCUGACGCUCAGGUGCGAAAGCCAGGGGAGCAAAUGGG
rnacentral:rRNA from 1 species